GACGAACGCUGGCGGCAGGCUUAACACAUGCAAGUCGAACGGGUGUAGCAAUACAUCAGUGGCAGACGGGUGAGUAACACGUGGGAACCUUCCUAGGGGUACGGAACAACUCAGGGAAACUUGAGCUAAUACCGUAUACGUCCGUGAGGAGAAAGAUUUAUCGCCCUUAGACGGGCCCGCGUCGGAUUAGCUAGUUGGUGGGGUAACGGCCUACCAAGGCGACGAUCCGUAGCUGAUCUUAGAGGAUGAUCAGCCACACUGGGACUGAGACACGGCCCAGACUUCUACGGGAGGCAGCAGUGGGGAAUCUUGGACAAUGGGCGCAAGCCUGAUCCAGCCAUGCCGCGUGAGUGAAGAAGGUCUUCGGAUUGUAAAGCUCUUUUGCCAGGGACGAUAAUGACGGUACCUGGAGAAUAAGCCCCGGCAAACUUCGUGCCAGCAGCCGCCGUAA
rnacentral:rRNA from 1 species